rnacentral:rRNA from 1 species
GACGAACGCUGGCGGCGUGCUUAACACAUGCAAGUCGAACGGAAAGGCCCUGCUUUUGUGGGGUGCUCGAGUGGCGAACGGGUGAGUAGCACGUGAGUAACCUGCCCUUGACUUUGGGAUAACUUCAGGAAACUGGGGCUAAUACCGGAUAGGAGCUCCUGCUGCAUGGUGGGGGUUGGAAAGUUUCGGCGGUUGGGGAUGGACUCGCGGCUUAUCAGCUUGUUGGUGGGGUAGUGGCUUACCAAGGCUUUGACGGGUAGCCGGCCUGAGAGGGUGACCGGCCACAUUGGGACUGAGAUACGGCGCAGACUCCUACGGGAGGCAGCAGUGGGGAAUAUUGCACAAUGGGCGGAAGCCUGAUGCAGCAACGCCGCGUGCGGGAUGACGGCCUUCGGGUUGUAAACCGCUUUCGCCUGUGACGAAGCGUGAGUGACGGUAAUGGGUAAAGAAGCACCGGCUAACUACGUG